CGAACAAAUCGUGAAACGUUUUCGGUUUUUUUUUUCCGUAUUCCGCAAUCUACUCGCACGCGCGAUCUCCCGGACAACCGGACGUAAUCGCCUGCGGAUUAAAAACCGCCUUUUAAACGGCAAAAUACAUAUGUACCGCAGACGUAAAUAGAGCCCGAACGUACGUAGGCUGUGAUCCCGAUAAGUUUCAGACAUGACGUUAAAGACUAAAUUAAUUAAAACACCGUAGGUCGGGCUUCGGACGGCUCAAGGAUUGCUAAGCCUUCCUAAACCUCCGCUAUUGGCGUCUGCGAUAUCUACCGCAUAAAGCGUCAUACGU